CAGCAUCGAUGCAAUUAACUAUUGUUUCCCUAAUAUAUCGAUACGUCUCGAAUCUCAAAAUAAUUUUGUUGGCUUGUAAUAUAUAUAAUACUGGGAAGAACUGAGUAUAAUUGGGACAACUGUGUAAUAGUAAGACUGGAUAACUAGGACAACUUAGUAACAUUGCAACAACUGAGUAAAAUUAGGACAACUGGAUAAAAUUGGGAGUGAAAGAAGAAGAAAAAGAAAAGAAGAAAAGAAGAAAGAAGAAAAAGAAAAUGGGGGAAGGAAAAAAUCCACAAAGAGAAACGGAAGAAAAAGAGAAAUUAGAAGAAUGAAAGGUAGCUCUCUCUCUUCUCUCUCUAGAUCCUUUAGAGAGUGAGAGCGAUGAGUUUUUUCUCUUUUCCAACUCAGAUCGGAUUUUAAUAAUUCCGACUUGUAUUAAUUUUUGUUUGUAAAAUAUCUCUUAUAGUGGGAUUUGUGAUUUCCGUUUUAAUGGAUUUUGCUGUCAUUAUAUCAGAUUUUCUUAUGCUUUAUCAGAGUUUUUUUGGGUUUAUGGUUUUAUGCUCUUCUUUGGUCGGAUUAAAAUCGGUUCUUCUUAUAUAUUAAAGACUAAUAAUCUUUGCUAAUCCUUAGUGGAGUGAAGAUUCUUUUCUUAAAGAGUUUAGAUUUCCGUCGUCAAAGCACAAGGUAUCUGGAGUUUGUUAUCACUCUUUUUCAGUUGAUGAUAGUGUCUUCUUCUCCAAAAAUUGGCAUCAUCCUCUCUUGGUUGGGAGUUGCUUCUCCCUUAUUACCUAGUUAAAGAGCCUUCUAUAGGCAAAGGGUAAGUGGCCUUGAGCUUCCGAUGAUCGGCACAAAGUUUUAUGGAGGCAAAAAGAUUUAGUUAGGGAUCUAGCUGUUGUUAGAGUUUUACAUGAUGGUUCUUGAGAAAGUGUUAGAUCCGAUGGAUUUCUUCAACAAAAUCUUUGGGUCGUCGGUUUCCGGCGAAGCUCUGCAUCGACGACGUGAUCGGCGGUAUCUUCUCACUGUCAACCAACACUCAACCCGAAAUUGCCACGUAUAACACACGUGUUUUGAGCUUUAUCAAUCCUUAUCCCCAUUGUUUAUGAGUUUAUAUUGAGCUGAAAGUUACAAUAUUUUGGGUCUCGAUCCAUGUAUAACUUGUCUAUUUUAGGCUUUGUUUUAAGGGAAUCUAAUAGACAUAAAAAAAAAGGAAGAAUGAAAGAUAAUAUAGGCAAAUCAUAAAAAAAUUAGGUAUCUGUCCGCGUUGCGCG
rnacentral:lncRNA from 1 species